AACCAGCACCUCAAGUGGUCAGGAUGAUUAUUGGGCCUAAAGCAUCCGUAGCCGGCUCUGUAAGUUUUCGGUUAAAUCUGUAAACUCAACUUACAGGCCGCCGGGGAUACUGCAGAGCUGGGGAGUGGGAGAGGUAGACGGUACUCGGUAGGAAGGGGUAAAAUCCUUUGAUCUAUUGAUGACCACCUGUGGCGAAGGCGGUCUACCAGAACACGUUCGACGGUGAGGGAUGAAAGCUGGGGGAGCAAACCGG
rnacentral:rRNA from 1 species